GCCCCGGUAGCUCAGUGGUAGAGCGAUUGUUUCGUAAACAAUAGGUCGAGGGUUCGAUUCCCUUUCGGGGCU
rnacentral:tRNA from 1 species